UUAACACCAUUUCCCAUACAAUCACUGAGGUUAUGCAACGUUGAGCCUGGUCAGCACUUAGAUGGGUGACCGCUUGGGAAUAGCAGGUGUUGUAAG